rnacentral:misc_RNA from 1 species
UUAAUUUGAGAGACAAAUGCUUAGGGGAUUACAACCAAAAACAAAAGAAGGAAAAAGAAAAGGGCUUAAACCAAAAAAAAAAAAAAACCCAAAGGAUGGAUGAACGAAUGACCUGUCCCACAAGAGGAAACAUCGAUCCAUUUUGAACAGUUUCCAUACAUCGAUUCAAAACGUGCAGAUCCUAACGUAGGAAAAUUCCACUCGGUGACUAAUCAAUUGCUAAAGGUCUGACAGACAAAUGAAGUGGUGAGCCUUUUAACUUGU